AAAUUGAAGAGUUUGAUCAUGGCUCAGAUUGAACGCUGGCGGCAGGCCUAACACAUGCAAGUCGAACGGUAACAGAAAGCAGCUUGCUGCUUUGCUGACGAGUGGCGGACGGGUGAGUAAUGUCUGGGAAACUGCCUGAUGGAGGGGGAUAACUACUGGAAACGGUGGCUAAUACCGCAUAACGUCGCAAGACCAAAGAGGGGGACCUUCGGGCCUCUUGCCAUCAGAUGUGCCCAGAUGGGAUUAGCUGGUUGGUGAGGUAACGGCUCACCAAGGCGACGAUCCCUAGCUGGUCUGAGAGGAUGACCAGCCACACUGGAACUGAGACACGGUCCAGACUCCUACGGGAGGCAGCAGUGGGGAAUAUUGCACAAUGG
rnacentral:rRNA from 1 species